rnacentral:rRNA from 1 species
CCUACGGGCGGCAGCAGUGAGGAAUAUUGGUCAAUGGGCGCGAGCCUGAACCAGCCAAGCCGCGUGAGGGAAGACGGUCCUAUGGAUUGUAAACCUCUUUUGUCGGGGAGCAAAAGACGCCACGCGUGGCGUUCCGAGAGUACCCGAAGAAAAAGCAUAGGCUAACUCCGUGCCAGCAGCCGCGGUAAUACGGAGGAUGCGAGCGUUAUCCGGAUUUAUUGGGUUUAAAGGGUGCGCAGGCGGAAGAUCAAGUCAGCGGUAAAAUUGAGAGGCUCAACCUCUUCGAGCCGUUGAAACUGGUGUUCUUGAGUGAGUGAGAAGUAUGCGGAAUGCGUGGUGUAGCGGUGAAAUGCAUAGAUAUCACGCAGAACUCCGAUUGCGAAGGCAGCAUACCGGCGCUCAACUGACGCUCAUGCACGAAAGUGUGGGGAUCGAACAGGAUUAGAUACCCCGGUAGUC